CAUUGAGAAGCUAUGAAGCAACAGCCUUUUAAGCUGCAGAUAGGUAACUACUACUACCCUCAGUGA
rnacentral:tRNA from 1 species